CGCGUAGGCGGCUCAUCAAGUCGGGGGUGAAAUACUUCAGCUUAACUGGAGAAGUGCCUUCGAUACUGGUGGGCUUGAGGGAGGUAGGGGUCUUUGGAACUUCUGGUGGAGCGGUGAAAUGCGUUGAUAUCAGAAGGAACGCCGGUGGCGAAAGCGAAGGACUGGACCUCUUCUGACGCUGAGGCGCGAAGCUAGGGGAGCAAACG
rnacentral:rRNA from 1 species